GAUGAACGCUGGCGGCGUGCUUAACACAUGCAAGUCGAACGAAGCAUUUAGAACGGAUUACUUCGGUUUGAAGUUCUUUAUGACUGAGUGGCGGACGGGUGAGUAACGCGUGGGUAACCUGCCUUGUACUGGGGGAUAGCAGCUGGGAACGGCUGGUAAUACCGCAUAAGCGCACAAUGUUGCAUGACAUGGUGUGAAAAACUCCGGUGGUAUAAGAUGGACCCGAGUCUGAUUAGCUAGUUGGUGAGAUAACAGCCAACCAAGGCGACGAUCAGUAGCCGACCUGAGAGGGUGACCGGCCACAUGGGGGCUGGGACCCGGCCCAGACUCCUACGGGAGGCAGCAGUGGGGAAUAUUGCACAAUGGAGGAAACUCUGAUGCAGCGACGCCGCGUGAGUGAAGAAGUAAUUCGUUAUGUAAAGCUCUAUCAGCAGGGAAGAUAGUGACGGUACCUGACUAAGAAGCUCCGGCUAAAUACGUGCCAGCAGCCGCGGUAA
rnacentral:rRNA from 1 species